rnacentral:rRNA from 1 species
ACUGCGAAACUGCGAAUGGCUCAUUAAAUCAGUUAUCGUCUAUUUGAUAGUACCUUACUACUUGGAUAACCGUGGUAAUUCUAGAGCUAAUACAUGCUGAAAACCCCGACUUCGGAAGGGAUGUAUUUAUUAGAUUAAAAACCAAUGCCCUUCGGGGCUCCCUGGUGAUUCAUGAUAACUUCUCGAAUCGCACGGCCUUGCGCCGGCGAUGGUUCAUUCAAAUUUCUGCCCUAUCAACUUUCGACGGCUGGGUCUUGGCCAGCCAUGGUGACAACGGGUAACGGAGGGUUAGGGCUCGACCCCGGAGAAGGAGCCUGAGAAACGGCUACUACAUCCAAGGAAGGCAGCAGGCGCGCAAAUUACCCAAUCCCGACACGGGGAGGUAGUGACAAUAAAUACUGAUACAGGGCUCUUUUGGGUCUUGUAAUUGGAAUGAGUACAAUUUAAUUCCCUUAACGAGGAACAAUUGGAGGGCAAGUCUGGUGCCAGCAGCCGCGGUAAUUCCAGCUCCAAUAGCGUAUAUUAAAGUUGUUGCAGUUAAAAAGCUCGUAGUUGAACCUUGGGCCUGGCUGGCCGGUCCGCCUCACCGCGUGCACUGGUCCGGCCGGGCCUUUCCCUCUGGGGAGCCGCAUGCCCUUCACUGGGCGUGUCGGGGAACCAGGACGUUUACUUUGAAAAAAUUAGAGUGUUCAAAGCAGGCUUAUGCUCGGAUACAUUAGCAUGGAAUAAUAGAAUAGGACGUGCGGUUCUAUUUUGUUGGUUUCUAGGACCGCCGUAAUGAUUAAUAGGGACAGUCGGGGGCAUCAGUAUUCAGUUGUCAGAGGUGAAAUUCUUGGAUUUACUGAAGACUAACUACUGCGAAAGCAUUUGCCAAGGAUGUUUUCAUUAAUCAGGAACGAAAGUUAGGGGAUCGAAGACGAUCAGAUACCGUCGUAGUCUUAACCAUAAACUAUGCCGACUAGGGAUCGGACGGUGUUAUUUUUUGACCCGUUCGGCACCUUACACGAAAGUACAA